rnacentral:tRNA from 1 species
GUCAGUUUAGCUUAAUAGUAAAGCACUGAACAUGUAAUCACAGAGAUAUGAGUUCGAGUCUUAUGGCUGGCU